UGGGGAAUAUUGCACAAUGGGCGCAAGCCUGAUGUAGCCAUGCCGCGUGUAUGAAGAAGGCCUUCGGGUUGUAAAGUACUUUCAGCGGGGAGGAAGGCGAUAAGGUUAAUAACCUUGUCGAUUGACGUUACCCGCAGAAGAAGCACCGGCUAACUCCGUGCCAGCAGCCGCGGUAAUACGGAGGGUGCAAGCGUUAAUCGGAAUUACUGGGCGUAAAGCGCACGCAGGCGGUCUGUCAAGUCGGAUGUGAAAUCCCCGGGCUCAACCUGGGAACUGCAUUCGAAACUGGCAGGCUAGAGUCUUGUGGAGGGGGGUAGAAUUCCAGGUGUAGCGGUGAAAUGCGUAGAGAUCUGGAGGAAUACCGGUGGCGAAGGCGGCCCCCUGGACAAAGACUGACGCUCAGGUGCGAAAGCGUGGGGAGCAAACA
rnacentral:rRNA from 1 species